AGAAUAAGGGGAGGAUUCUGCGUUCCUUGUUUAAGCAAAGUCCUGCUGUGCUGUGCAGUGAGGUCAAGGUGCUCAUGUAUGAAAAUUUUGGCCAAACAUCUGUCAGGAUGUAAACACAGAAGGAGUAUUUGGCUGCUGGCUGCGUUACCUGUGUAGGAGCAAGAAGGCAGAUGGGAGUGUUCUGUUAUGAAUAACAAGACACAGGCUUCCCUUAAUGACCUCAUCCUGCUAACCAUGAAAAGGAAAUCCAAAGGAUAUGGAGCAAUUUUCCUCUUUUGCUGCUGCUCAUGUGAACUCAGGAAUCUGUGAAUUAUUCUAGGACAUCUGAAUUCCCAUGUAAUCUUCUCUGAGAGCUUCCUCCCCACUGCUCUGUUUCCCUUUUGCAGCUUCCUAGGAGAGAAAUUUGUGAAAGAUGGGCUGUGCUUUAAAAAGGUGAAUCAUCAAACUCAAAUCCCAACAGCAGCACAACCACCUUGAAUGAAAAUUAAGUUUUUAACAUCUGAGAACCCAUACAGACUGGUAGGCAUAUGUGUUGAAUUCUUUGUAAUCUGUCUAUGCUCUUCCUGGCAUGUGUCCACUGCUGACAUUUUCCUGUUGAUACUGUUUCUACAUGUACUCAUAACCUUCAGACAUAGCAUGUAAAAUUUGUUAUUUUCUUAUUCUUUCAUUCACCUGAAGCGUAUCAAUUUGCAUAGAUUUUACUACUGCUAAUAAUCAGUGAGUAUGCAGGGUUUCUUUGCCAUGAUAGAACUGAUCUCUGUUAGAGGAAGAAUAGACUCUCGUCAAGACUAGGUUACUAAGUCCAGACUGUUUAGAAAUAUUUUAGAAGAAACAUUUCUUUCUGUAAGCCUUCUCAAGCUGACUGUUUCUUUACUUUCUGUUCAAGGUUAAAAGCAGGACUAUGUGUCAGUAUGGUACUCCAUUCUAUAAAUUAUUUUAAUCCGUAAGUUUUCUAAGAAAGUUUUCACACUCUGUUGACAAUCCAUUGUACAAGAGAGGUAAGUGGGAGUUUUCCUGUCUGAUUUACUUUAUUUAUAUGCUGUGCUUCUGUAUUCCAGCUCUCAUCGUGGACUUUCCAAGAAGAGAAGAAAUACAAACUGUAUUCUUAAAGCAUCACUCCUCUCCAAGUGGUGAGUUCUCAACAGUCAGUAGGCAACACAGAUUUCUCAUAUUAGAAGUGUAGCCACGUCAUCUGCUGAACUGAUUCAACUCUUCUGAACACUCAUCCAUUUUAAUACAUAUGUUGAAAGAAAUUAUUCUAAUGCUGUUCAACACUUGAGAUUAGGAUAAAAGUACUUUCAGUAUUGGUUUAUUCAUUUAUUUAUUAUUUUAUUUUGAGUCUUCUUUCCCAUGUAAAAUAUUCUAGUUGAAUCUUUUCUGCUCUUCUCCAUUAAAGUUGUCACCUUUUCAAAUACUGGCUCUUUCACUAGUGUUCAUGGCUAAUGUGACAUGAGAAAGAGAAUAGAAUUUUAUCUGGCUUAGACAACACAGCAGUUACAGUAACUUUUAAUUUCAGUAGAUGGUGAUAUUGUGAAUACAUCCUCAGCAAUAAACUCAGCUGGUUAUUUGGUCAACAGAAGUGCUAUACGGGCUGCUAAUUGCAACCCUAUGUUGGAUAUGGUUCCAAGUACAUGUUCUAAGUGUUAGCCCAGAAGGCAGUUUUCAAAGGAAAAAAGCUCUUCCAGAAAAUUCAGUUGUGAGGCUGGUGACUGAGACGAAAGGCACCAGAAACAACUUUAAAAAGCUGCGGUACCUCCUCUUCCUUCCUAAUCAUCUGGAUGUCUUUUUCCUCAGGGAGCAUUAGUGGGUAUUGACUAACAUAUUCAGACAAAAAGUAUGGAACAGAGACUCUGUGAACUACUCUUUGCAUUUAAGUUGAUCUUUGUGUAAAUCAACUAGGAAGGUAAUGGGGUCACACAUUUUACAAGAUGGGAAAAAAAUAUUACUAAAUAGCUAUGAUGCCACGGAAAGGGCAAAAGGUUAAGAAAAUGAUUAGCUUGAGGGAAGAGUCACAUAUACAGAGGGAUGGAAACACUUGGCUAAUAAGUGUGUGGCAUUCCUCUGCUGUGAUUUCAGAAUUCACAAUACCAACAAGCUUUUCUUUUCUUUUCUGAACUCAUCAGAAAGUCUACAUCCCCUAUAAUUAAAAAGGAAGAAAAUCAGUAGGAAAUGAUAAGGGUAUGGGAACUAGGAAGAAAUUUUGUACUAGUGAGCAUUACCACCAUUUAGUUGCAUGGACACAGCUCAGUGAGCAGAGUUUAAUAUUGUAAGUCACAAAACAAAUCCCUGCUUUUUCUUUGCAUGUUUGAAUAAAGUUUUCUCAGUUAUUUGAUGGGACCAGAUAAGAGGGACUCUAUGCUGAUAUCAAAUAAAGGAAUGUAUCCUCCAUGACUUUGUUUCAAUCCUGUUUACUGCUAGCUAUGAGUUUUAUUGCGUAUU